AAGAAAGUAAUUAAGGGCGUUCGAAGGAUGCCUUGGCUCUUAUAGGCGAUGAAGGACGUGAUAAGCUGCGUUAAGUUACGGGGAGGAGCAAAUAUCCAUUAUAUCCGUAAAUAUCCGAAUGGGGCAACCCAUACAGAUGAAGUCUGUAUAUACUGCUUGCAGUAUGCUAACCGGGAGAACUGAAACAUCUAAGUACCCCGAGGAAAAUAAAACAAAUAGUGAUUCCCAAAGUAGUGGCGAGCGAAAUGGGAACAGCCCAAAUCUCAAAUGUUAAGGCAUUUGAGAGGUUGUAGGACUACAAUAUAGACUAUAGAUUUGAAAUAGAAGUUGUCUGGAAAGCAAUACCAUAGAGGGUGAUAGUCCCUUAUAUUAAUCAAAUCUGUUACUUAGUAGUAUCCUGAGUACCGCGGGACUCGAGAAAUCCUGUGGGAAUCUGCCGGGACCAUCCGGUAAGGCUAAAUACUAAUAAGAGACCGAUAGCGAACUAGUACUGUGAAGGAAAGGUGAAAAGAACCGCGAACAGCGGAGUGAAAUAGAACCUGAAAUCGAACGCCUACAAGCGGUUGGAGUGGCUUCGUGCCAUGACAGCGUGCCUUUUGCAUAAUGAGCCUACGAGUUACUCCUCUCUAGCAAGGUUAAGAAUCUAAGAUUCGCAGCCGAAGCGAAAGCAAGUCUGAAUAGGGCGUAUAGUUAGAGGGGGUAGACGCGAAACCUUGUGAUCUACCCUUGGUCAGGAUGAAGUUGCCGUAACAGGUAAUGGAGGUCCGAACUGGUGAGCGUUGAAAAGCUCUCGGAUGAACUGAGGGUAGGGGUGAAAGGCUAAUCAAACUGGGAAAUAGCUCGUACUCCCCGAAAUGUUUUUAGGAACAGCCUUGAAAUUAAUUGUCAUAGAGGUAGAGCUAC
rnacentral:rRNA from 1 species